ACGUAGGGGGCAAGCGUUAUCCGGAAUUAUUGGGCGUAAAGAGUGCGUAGGUGGUCUUACAAGCCUUGGGUGAAAGGCUACAGCUUAACUGUAGUAAGCCUUGGGAACUGUAAGACUUGAGUGCAGGAGAGGAGAGUGGAAUUCCUAGUGUAGCGGUGAAAUGCGUAGAUAUUAGGAGGAACACCAGUGGCGAAGGCGACUCUCUGGACUGUAACUGACGCUGAGGCACGAAAGCGUGGGGAGCGAACAG
rnacentral:rRNA from 1 species